AGUGAAGCGGCAACAGCUCAAAUUUGAAAUCUGGCCCCCAGGGUCCGAGUUGUAAUUUGCAGAGGAUGCUUUUGGCAAGGUGCCUUCCGAGUUCCCUGGAACGGGACGCCAUAGAGGGUGAGAGCCCCGUCUGGUUGGAUACCGAGCCUCUGUAAAGCUCCUUCGACGAGUCGAGUAGUUUGGGAAUGCUGCUCUAAAUGGGAGGUAUAUGUCUUCUAAAGCUAAAUAUUGGCCAGAGACCGAUAGCGCACAAGUAGAGUGAUCGAAAGAUGAAAAGCACUUUGAAAAGAGGGUUAAAUAGUACGUGAAAUUGUUGAAAGGGAAGCGCUCAUGACCAGACUUGGGCCCGGUGAAUCAUCCAGCGCUCGUCGCUGGUGCACUUUGCCGGGCUCAGGCCAGCAUCAGUUCGCUCCGGGGGACAAAGGCUCUGGGAAUGUGGCUCCUCCGGGAGUGUUAUAGCCCACUGCGCAAUACCCUGGGGCGGACUGAGGUUCGCGCAUUCGUGCAAGGAUGCUGGCGUAAUGGUCAUCAGUGACCCGUCUUGAAACACGGACCAAGGAGUCGUCUUCGUAUGCAAGUGUUCGGGUGUAAAACCCCUACGCGUAAUGAAAGUGAACGCAGGUGAGAGCUUCGGCGCAUCAUCGACCGAUCCUGAUGUUCUCGGAUGGAUUUGAGUAAGAGCAUACGGGGCCGGACCCGAAAGAAGGUGAACUAUGCCUGUAUAGGGUGAAGCCAGAGGAAACUCUGGUGGAGGCUCGCAGCGGUUCUGACGUGCAAAUCGAUCGUCAAAUAUGGGCAUGGGGGCGAAAGACUAAUCGAACCUUCUAGUAGCUGGUUUCCGCCGAAGUUUCCCUCAGGAUAGCAGUGUUGAACUCAGUUUUAUGAGGUAAAGCGAAUGAUUAGGGACCAGGGGGCGCUUUAUAGCCUUCAUCCAUUCUCAAACUUUAAAUAUGUAAGAAGCUCUUGUUACUUAAUUGAACGUGGGCAUUCGAAUGUAUCAACACUAGUGGGCCAUUUUUGGUAAGCAGAACUGGCGAUGCGGGAUGAACCGAACGCGAGGUUAAGGUGCCAGAGUAGACGCUCAUCAGACACCACAAAAGGUGUUAGUACAUCUUGACAGCAGGACGGUGGCCAUGGAAGUCGGAAUCCGCUAAGGACUGUGUAACAACUCACCUGCCGAAUGUACUAGCCCUGAAAAUGGAUGGCGCUCAAGCGUCUCACCCAUACCUCGCCCUCAGGGUAGAAACGAAGCCCUGAGGAGUAGGC
rnacentral:rRNA from 1 species